GCAUCUACAAUAUACAUUUUUCAAAAUCUUUUUCUUAUUUGUAUGUUUGCAUUUGCAGAAUCAUCAUGUUGCAGCGAUAGAUAGACGGCGUUCCGAGGGUCAUGCUAUUUGUUUGUACAUGGAGGAAAACUAUCCUUCUAUGAGGCUGAGCAUUACUGCAAUCAACAUGGUGGAAAUCUUGUACACAUAGAUAAUGAAGCUGAAAAUUUGUUCAUCAAGGAUUAUCUGCGAUCUAUCAAAGCUGAUCACACAUGGAUUGGUCUGACAGAUGAAGGUUCAGAAGGAUUGUGGGAAUGGUACGACACGCACACAUCGCCUUCAUUUACUGACUGGAGCCCAACAGAGCCAAAUGCAUUGGAGGGUGACGAAGAUUGCGUUUGUGUCGAUGCUUGGCAUGACUAUCGCUGGUUUGAUCAUUUGUGCUCGCUGCAGAAAGCACCACUGUGCGAAUCGACUGGCUACGUUAGCAUAGUUGGCUGAUCACUGAAUUGUUUGCAAUGUUUUGUUGUAAAAUAGUUAUUAAAAGAUAUCAAUGAAAA
rnacentral:lncRNA from 1 species